UACAGAGGUCUCAAGCGUUGUUCGGAUUUACUGGGCGUAAAGGGCGCGUAGGCGGCCACCGCAAGUCAAUUGUGAAAUCUCCGGGCUUAACUCGGAAAGGUCAACUGAUACUGCGGGGCUAGAGUGCGGAAGGGGCAACUGGAAUUCUCGGUGUAGCGGUGAAAUGCGUAGAUAUCGAGAGGAACACCUGCGGCGAAGGCGGGUUGCUGGGCUGACACUGACGCUGAUGCGCGAAAGCCAGGGGAGCGAACGGG
rnacentral:rRNA from 1 species